rnacentral:rRNA from 1 species
AGCUCCAAAAGCGUAUAUUAAAGUUGCUGCAGUUAAAAAGCUCGUAGUUGGAUUUCUGGCGUGACAUGCCUGGCCCGCCGCUUUAUAGUAGUGAGUGCUGGCGCUGUGUCUGCCAUCCUUCCAGAAAUUACGGAUCCCUUUCGUUAGGAUGUCCGCUAAGGUCUGGAUCUUUUACUUUGAAAAAAUUAGAGUGUUCAAAGCAGGCUCGUCGCUGUGAAUACAUUAGCAUGGAAUAAUAAUUUAGGACAAUCUGUCUUAUUUUGUUGGUCUAUAAGAUGUUUGUAAUGAUUGAUAGGGAUAGUUGGGGGUGCUAGUAUUCAGCGGCCAGAGGUGAAAUUCUCAGAUUCGCUGAAGACUAACUUAUGCGAAAGCAUUCACCAAGGAUGUCUUCUUUAAUCAA